rnacentral:lncRNA from 1 species
AUGGUCUUGUUUAGGCACAGGGGCACACUGGACUGUCACAGACAGUCUACAUGUCCUGUCUGUGGCUCCACGGUGCCAUUUGCUGCAGGAUUGUUAACUGUGUGCACGGUGCUGGUGUGUGGGAGGACAUUGGCUACUGCCGUUCUGCCCCAGAAACCUGAGGUGCAUCUUUCCACAGCAGCUGCUCAAAAAUUAUUGAUUCAAAUGUUGUUUCUCUUGGAAAUUUCCCCAGGAGCUGUGCUCAAGGGUCUCCAGGGAGUGAGGUCACAGAGGGAUGCUCCCAGCCCCAUGGGUCUGUCCAAAAAUGCAGAUUUCAGGCAUAGCCACAUGCCCAGGAGUGGCAGGGUGGGACCUUCACUACUCUUCCUAAAUGGUACUCUAGCCCAAAUCCCACUCCCCCUGCUCUUCCCUGCUUCAGCCCCCUCCAAACAGGCAGCAAAGUUGCCCAUGCAGCCUGGCCAUGGGAGGUUUAGCUCAUGCACUGCUGCUGCCCCAGCCCAGUGGCACAGCCCGGCCUUGCCCUGGCUGACAGAAACCCAUGGGGCUGCAGCCAGCAUCAACGGGGCCCUUUGUUCCCUGCGUUCCCAGAUGCCACCACGCUCCUCUCCCCGUGCUGAAAGGGUCCUGUGUGUGCACAAUCAGCCGCUGGGCAGGAGCGAGCUGGGGAACAAAACACCAUCUCUUUGCCCUGGCAGGGACUGCUGCCCCCCCGGCCGGCCUCGGGCUGGGGACAGCAAGUGCGAGGUGGUGUGCGAGAGCGGCCAGCACGUCCGGGGUGCUGGGCAAGGCCGAGGGCCAAAGGACACAUGUGGCCUCUCCAGGUGUGCCCUUGGCCGUGCCCCACUGUCACUCCACCUCGGGACAUGGGCCCUGCCCUCAGAGCUCCUUUCCUGGGCACCCAGCGCCCUCCAGGAGCUGGCCGAGAAAAGAGGGAAUAAGCUCUGCCUCAUCCCAAGCCCCAUCUCUGCAAACCUGUGGGAGUCCAGGGCUUCCCUCUGGCUGCCCUGGCAGGUCUGGGACCCUGGCAGGGGUCAGGAACCCCCCUGGACAGAGCCCCCAGAGACACUGGCUGUGAUCUCUGGCCAUGGAAAAGAGUUUUCAAUCUUACAGGAUGAAUUACAAGCUCUGAGUGUUUGA